rnacentral:rRNA from 1 species
UCGAAACCUGCCUAGCAGAGCGACCUGUGAACACGCUCAACCUCGUGGGCAUUGGGGUGACGCUCGGUGCCUAGUGUGCAGGCCCGUCCCUCUCCCAAGCUGGGGCAGCGCUCACUUGUGGGCUGUUUCCUUGGCAAAAUAACGAACACCGGCGCUUAACGCGUCAAGCAAUACAAACAUUAUGUGUGUACUCUCCUAUUGUCCGGGUAGCCGGGCAUUGGAGCAGUGCUAUGUCUUAACAAUAAACGACUCUCGGCAACGGAUAUCUAGGCUCUCGCAUCGAUGAAGAACGUAGCGAAAUGCGAUACUUGGUGUGAAUUGCAGAAUCCCGUGAACCAUCGAGUUUUUGAACGCAAGUCGCGCCCGAAGCCUCUGGCUUAGGGCACGUCUGCCUGGGCGUCACGCAUCGCGUCUCCCCCAAAUCCACCCCCGAGUGAGGGGAAGGAAGAUGGUCUCCCGUGACUCACCGGUCGCGGCUGGCCUAAAAUUGGAGCCCUCGGCAUUGGGAUGUCGUGGCGAUAGGUGGUGAGAAGGCCUCGGCCAAGCAAGCAACCCGCCGCGCGUCACCACGCCAACGUGAGCUCGAAGGACCCUUUAAGUUGACCAACGGCAUCCUAACUAUUGCGACCCCAGGUCAGGCGGGACUACCC